UCACAGAUGCUCUUCUGAGAGGAGAAAAGCCAUGUUUGUCAGAGGCAGCAUGCUACUGAACACCUGUUGCUGGGAACCGCAGGAGGUACAACCCACUUCUUCUCCAAAGAGCUCAAGGUGGCAUACAUGGUUCUUUCCCUCCCCAUAUAAUCCUCACAACAACCCUGUGAGCUAGGACAACAGGAGAGAGGGGGAAGCUGCACAACCGGGCAAAUAGGCGGUGGGAGCAGUUCCAAACUGGCAAUCAUAACCCUUUGAACUGUCAUUAGUGACUCUGCUGGGUAUAUAUAUAUCUUGGUCAGAACCGGACCUUCUUUGACUGAGUAACCAUUUAGCCAACAUGGUGUCCAAGCCAGUUUCUGGUCUAUGUUCACAUCUUGCCUGCCUCCCACCUAGCGCUGGAAUAAGCAGACUUUGUUAACUUGAUUCUCAUCAACUUUAACUCUGGGUGUUGUGACUGGAUGGUCUAAUUGGCUCCUCCUCCUGGUUCUUGUCUGUGAUGCUCCUCUUUGUGGUCCACUACUCCUCCUUCUAUGCAUUUUGCUGGUUAUGCUCAUUUCUCCUACUAGUAGGGUGGGUCUGUAAAGAUUCUUGUAGGGAAGGGGAGUUUCACUUGAUAUUGCCUUUUUUAAAAAAACAACAACUAGAAAUAUAGAACAUUUUAUGUGAGUAUAUAUAGCAUAUUUAAUGCAAAUAUCUGAAAGGCUUGGGUUGCUUUUAAUUAAAUACAGCUGCUUUUGCAUCUCUGCACAAUUACUCUUGGUGGAGGGCCCCUUUUUAUUCCCAGAAACCUUCUGCUAAGGAAGGAUCUUCAGAUUCUUUCACCCUAGUUGUAACCUCUCACUCACUUGCACAUGGGUGAUUUCCACCGACACUUGCCUAAAGAAUUAUUUAAAAGGUUUCCUUCAGUUGCUUGUAAACAGAUGCUCCCUCAAGUGGGACAGAUACAUCAUUGCACUGUGAGAUUUGCAUGUGAUUACUGGUGUGAUAACAGUAGACAACAACUCCAGAAGAGUUUACCAUGUCAAAACCCCCUCCCAAAUCUGAUGUCUCCCUAGUAUGGGAUGUUGUUUACA